rnacentral:lncRNA from 1 species
GCGUGCCAUGCUCAACUUGCAGAACUUGCUCUUCACUCCGUUUUUCUCUUACCUUUUGCUCAUGAACAAGUAGUGAACUUUGUAGCUCAUCCACAGUUAAGACAUCAAUAUCCUUAGACUCUUCAAUUGAGCAUACAACAAAGUUGAAAUUUUCUGUCAAAGAUCUAAGUAUCUUCUCAACUAUUUUCACAUCGUUCAUAUUCUCUCCGCAAUUACUCAUGUCAUUUGCUAUUUCCAUUACUCUUCC